UACGUAGGGGGCAAGCGUUGUCCGGAAUCAUUGGGCGUAAAGAGCGCGUAGGCGGCCCUGUAAGUCCGCUGUGAAAGUCAAGGGCUCAACCCUUGGAUGCCGGUGGAUACUGCAGGGCUAGAGUACGGAAGGGGCGAGUGGAAUUCCUGGUGUAGCGGUGAAAUGCGCAGAUAUCAGGAGGAACACCGAUGGCGAAGGCAGGUCUCUGGGCAUUAACUGACGCUGAGGAGCGAAAGCAUGGGGAGCGAACAGG
rnacentral:rRNA from 1 species